AACCCAUGUUGAGGACAUUUCUGCAUGAGCUCCGUGAACGUAUCCCAUGUCUCAAAAAGAGACUCCAAUUCUGUUUGUACAAAAGAGAAUACUUCAUUCUUAAGCUU